AUUGAACGCUGGCGGCAUGCCUUACACAUGCAAGUCGAACGGUAACGGGCCUUCGGGUGCCGACGAGUGGCGAACGGGUGAGUAAUGCAUCGGAACGUACCUUUCAGUGGGGGAUAACGUAGCGAAAGUUACGCUAAUACCGCAUAUUCUGUGAGCGGGAAAGCAGGGGAUCGCAAGACCUUGCGCUGAUUGAGCGGCCGAUGUCAGAUUAGCUAGUUGGUGAGGUAAAGGCUCACCAAGCGACGAUCUGUAGCGGGUCUGAGAGGAGGAUCCGCGACACGGGGACUGAGACACGGCCCAGACUCCUACGGGAGGCAGCAGUGGGGAAUUUUGGACAAUGGGGGCAACCCUGAUUCAGCCAUGCCGCGUGAGUGAAGAAGGCCUUCGGGUCGUAAAGCUCUUUCGGCCGGGAAGAAAUCGCACAGGCUAAUACCUUGUGUGGAUGACGGUACCGGAAUAAGAAGCACCGGCUAACUACGUGCCAGCCGCCGCAGUAAGAC
rnacentral:rRNA from 1 species